rnacentral:misc_RNA from 1 species
CCAUGGCGGGAUUACAGGAAACAGAAAAAAGAGUGGGUCUGAUGAACGCGCAGUUUUUAGCGUAUUUAGAGAAGCACCGCAUAUAUGAAUUAUUUUAUAAACCAUGUACAGGAAAUUGCCACCCAAUUAGCAAUUCAAAAACCUGAUGAUCAUCUCGUAUUUAUGAAGCAAUAUCUUAAACUUGCUGCGGAAAGGCUGGAUGUUCCAAAGAUCGUUCUUAUCGCACCUCCAAAUUUUGAUAAGUUGGCUUUAGCCAAAGUACUUCAGGAGGAAUUAGGAGUUUGUCCCUUGACUUUGAAAGAUCUUCGUAAUGCAUGUUGCCAAGAUGAUGUUAACAUUUGUCACUGCGAGGAAUCGGAAGAUCUUGCAUUAGCUAUGAGAAAGAUUCUAGAAAGUGGAAGUUUACACGAAUGCGGAUGGCUGCUCAUAGAUUUACCAAGGACAAGAAACGAAGCGAAAAUAUUUCAACGUGUCGGCAUAAUACCAAGUCACGUGAUACAUCUUAUAGUUUCAAGCGAAUUUGAAAACUGGGAAAAUUUUUGUAAGGAUAAUUGUUGCCAACAAUUUCAUGCGUCAUCAAAAGCUUCGAAAAAAUCGAAAAAUAAGCUUUACUUGAAAAAUUUACAAGGAUUGCGAGAAGCAUACAAUAAUUUGCUAGUUGAAGUCGAAGUUGGUAUUAGGACCAUCGACGAACUUGGAAAGGAUUGCGCAAAAUUGACAAAGAUAAAGAAACAUUCUGGAGCGCCGUCACUCUUUCGCAUCCUGCUCAUUGGAUCAAGAGGAUCCGGUUGUACUACAUUAGGAAUAUACUUGGCCGAACGAUUCAACCUCGUUCACAUCGAUUACGAUUACAUCGAAGAACAAGCGCGUCUACAAAAGAAUUCUGUAGGAGAGAUGCUUCGAUUGUUCGAAUACAAAUGGGGACGAAGAUCCAAGCCGGAGAUUAGAAUACGGAUUGUCGAAAAACAUAUUGUCCAGUACGAGUGUUUGAAAAGAGGCUGGGUUCUGACUGGAUAUCCAAAGACUGUGGAAGAUUUUAAGCUAUUGGAUUUGAAUCCUACUCCGCCGAAUAGGGUAAUAUUUGUGAAAGUGAACAGCGAUAUCUGUAGAGAAAGAUUGCUCAAUCGUCGUUACAAUGUCUUCACUGGCAGCAAGCAUAACUUAUCUAAUGAAGAUCGCGUUGACACGGAUAACCAAGAAUUAGGUGUUCACCCUAACGAUUACAGAUUGAUCGUUGAACGAGAUAUUCAAGAGCAUGAAGAACACGUAAUCGAUAUGAUGCAAUAUGCGGGCGAAUCCGCAGUGAAAAUUGAUGGAAACGGAGAUGAAAAAGAGACUCGUGAAAAGGUAGAAUCAUGUCUAAUGCGUUCAAUACCACCUUGGGUUUCGAGAGUACCAAGACCUCCGCCGGAAAUCGAUCCAAUGGACAUUGAAUUUGAAAUAGAUGAUGAUCUCGAUUCCGUUAUAUCGAAUGAUGUGCAUAUACCCGAACCAACAUAUACCUUUGUUUAACGUCUUGAUUGCUGUAGCGAAAGUGAUCUUGUAUUAAUGUAUUAAGUGAACUGUCGCCACUAUUUUACCCCCUAUGAGGGUAGAAAAGGAGCCGUUCCUAGCAUGUUCUGUUAUCCUGGCACACGAGGCAUCCCGUUUUCGCAACGUAACAACGCAAACGAUAUAUGUACAAUCCUCUUUAUUAAAAAAAUGCAAUGAUUCACGUAGUAAUAAAUUGUAAGCAACAAUUCAUAAACAACGUAUUUUCACGAUAAAAUAUUUAUUUUGUUAUUUACAUUUAUUUAAUAUUUGUUACAACUGUAAGAGAACAUAAAAUUGACCAAAAUUAAAGAUGUAUGCCUACAUUAACAAGGAUAAUUGCCUCAAACGCGAAGCAUAUUUCCGGAUCAAGAAGGUAUAGAAUCGGACAAGUUGCAUGUGGCUCUAGAAUGUGGAUAGACCUUGCUACAUAGGAUGCGAUCCUGUCUGUUCUGCCCUAUGGUCCAAUUAAUUAUCGAUCCGAAAUGUUUUCCGUAAAACUGCAUAGAUGCCGGAAGGAAACAGGAAGUUGAAGUUUAGGAAAACAUGGACAAACGGAGGUGGUUCGCAAGUAAUUUCUGCGUUAAGAAGAAAAAGAAUAUUCUAGGUAUCUAUACGCUAUACACCAUGAACUGAAAUAAAAAAGUUUUUGAAAUCUGUGUUGAAAUGGUACCUAUACGUAGAAGUCUUUGCUAUGAUCUCAGGGCAACAGUUUUGCGAGAAGGUGACAUGAAAGGAUCAAAUUCUUCAUAGUUACCUGAUGAGUGAAAAUAAUGCAUACUUGAAACAUUUAUUAAGAAUAGUCCAUUUAUCUAAUUCACCGAAUAUUUAAUAUCAUUUUAAGAUCGUUAACACAAUCGGAUAAUGUGUACUUAUCAUUCAGGAAUUUUUUCCAAAAUUUUAGAUCUGUAUGAAUAACAGAAUGCAGUUGCCUUAUAGACAAAUCAACACGUAUAAGCAAUAAGGCGCAAGCCAAACUAUUGGAAGGACUUCAAAAGCCAAAUUAAGCUGAAGUAUUAGGAUAGAAGGAAACGAAUAGCAUACGGCAGAAUGUCCUCGACCUUCGACGCUGUCCUGCUGAAACACCUGCAUUCCUAUCCCUUACGAACGCCACGAGUAUGCGUUGAAAAUUAAGUGCAUACUCUGUAACCAACAUGUCCUACAUACUUAUUUAGGUAUCUCUUUUUGUUGGAGCUACAAUUGCUUCUCAUACUAUACAUAUAUAUAGGGGAUGACGUAUACGCUCGUAUGUUAUGAUUGACUCGAAGAGAUCAAAAUUGACACGAAAAAUAACCACAUCUGGACUCUAGAUCACGAUUAUGGUAAAAACAUCCUUGCGAAUAGUUCUAAAUGUUCUUCGUAUUCUACGUAACCACCUUGUAGGAAUUUGCUUUUUUUAUUGUUCUGAUGUAUUCGUAAGAAAACGGUUCCACUGGCUCUCAGCAUUAAGUUCAUGAUAACCAUUUCGUCAACGAAUCUAGUCUAUUACAGGAUGCAUAUUGUGCAACUUGUUCUACAGUAGAGAUGCGAAUUUUAUAAUUAGCUUUACUUUUCGGUUGACGUCGAACGAAUACAAAAUUAAUUAGUAUUCAGUAAUCUCCAGUGAAAAAUUUCUUUUAUAAAGAAACAUGAAAUAGAAAGAAUGAAUUAUAAUGUCAUAAAAUAUUAAUCGACAAGUUUGGGACAACGUGCGCUCGUAUCUUACAAACAUCCAAUGUCACUAGGAUAUCAUGCGAGCAUGGUCGGAAGCUUUCAAGAUCGUUCCUCGAGCUUCCAGCAGCUUUCGAACGCCAAGCAUUCCGUUGACCAGGACUUCAUGCAACGUUGAACUUCGUCUCGGUGAAUCGAACGGAAUGUUUUCAUCCCCCAUCGAAGAUGCACAGUGUCCUGCCAGAACCCGUCAACGUUCUGUCACUCGUCAACCGCAUGGCGCCAGAAGCAUCCACCUUACCAGGACUGUAUAACUCGCAAACAAUUUGUCCAUGGUUUCCGCGGUUCCAGGACUUCGAUGACGGAAUAACGGUGUUUCAUUCCAGCCAGGAUAACAGGAGCCUAGCAACCGUUUAUUCGAUCUUUAUUCCUUGCGUUCUUCGCGAAGAUAAGAAUUUAAGGUUCUGCUAAGGGCGCCGUAAAAGUAAACCACCAAGCCCUCGAAGACCAUGUCUCGAUCGACUACUAUCGUUUGUUACGUUCGCGAAAUACUUGGAAGUUUGGA